GGGCGAAGGAUCAUUACUGAGUGGCUGUAUUCGUGCUUCUCUUCGGAGACGCGAAGCUACCCGACCUGAUGUCAUUUUAUCCGAGGGCGCGCCCGCUUGAGAAGACAGCGGUUUGACGUUGUGGUGUUACCCGGACGAGGCGCUUGUCUCGUAAGGGGAAGCUUCCGGGUCGGGCCGUGGCGCGUUCCUUGGCACAACUUUCCGCGGAAGUGGUAGGCGUUGACUUGCCCGCCGCGGGCCAUACUUUUCACAACUCUCGAAGAAAACCUGAAGUCUGAAUACCAAAACAAAAACGAAAAGCAAAACUUUCAACAACGGAUCUCUUGGCUCUGGCAACGAUGAAGAACGCAGCGAAACGCGAAAGGUAAUGCGAAUUGCAGAAUCAGUGAGUCAUCGAAUCUUUGAACGCACAUUGCGCCUCUCGGUAUUCCGGGAGGCACGCCUGUUCGAGCGCCAUUACAAACUCCAAGCGUGGCUUGAUGUUGGGCGAUGUCUUUUUGCGAGAGCGGGAGACACGCCUGGAACGCGUUGGCGCCGCCGCCGGACCACGAGCGUAGCAAGACGAGAGUCAAUCGCAUCGAUUUGGUUUCCGACGGAGGUCCGCCUUGUGACUGCACUUUCGAGUGUAGUUGAAAAACUUCUCAAGUUUGGCCUCGGAUCAGGCGGGGAUACCCGCUGAACUUAAGCAUACA
rnacentral:rRNA from 1 species